AAGAAGUGGAAUCGGACGAGGAUUUUUUUUAUGAUUGUUGGGAUUCUUAUCUUGAUGGAGUUGAAGAAGUACGGGGACAAAUAAGCCAAGACUUGGAGGAACACGACGGAUGAAGAAGGAGUUGACGAAGUCUAUGCGAGCUAGGAACAUCUUCCCAGUCAGUUGCCUGUAGGGUUAUGGCAGAUGACUUGGGUACUGCGCUGCUGAAGUGAUGUUGCUACUCUGAUGUUUAGUUAGGCCCUUCGAGGCUAUUAUGUAAGUAUUGGUCAUGUGACCAUGUUGUAAUUUUCUUAUUCCGCUUUGUAAUGGAUGGUGUAAUUUGAUAUCGGUUCGGUUAUGUGUUCACGGCGCACUGAUCAUGGGAUCGUGAACUGUAUACAUAACAGGGAAA